GAUUUCAACUAAAAAAGUCACAAACAACACAGUUAUAUAACUCAUCAAUAUCUAUAGCUUUUAUUUUGUCUAUUUUUUAUCCGACAAAGUGAUAAUAACAUUGUUCAUAAAAUUUAUAUACCUCUUAUAUGGUUUUAUAAAUUAUAAGACAGAUAUGGAAAUUUUGUGAAAAAUGUUACUAGCACUUUGUCGGAUAAAGAAAUUACUAAAAUAAAAGUUAUACAUAUUGAUGAGUUGUAACUUUUUUAUUGAUGACUUUUUCAGUUAAAAUC
rnacentral:pre_miRNA from 1 species